rnacentral:lncRNA from 1 species
CAUCGGUCAAUGGCAAUCCCUCCAUGAAUCUGCUUUUCAAUUCCCCAUAUCCACAAGAUUGUAUGAUCGUUGACCCUUUUUUCCUUAUUAGAAAUAAAGUGUCCAAAUGUUCGUAUGUUUGUUCCCUCUCAAGUUUCACAGCUAGUUGUUUCAGCUUGUUCAUCACCCUACUUUUGGAUUUCUUUAACGCUUUAAUUUUACAGUUCCUUUCCUCC